CGCGACCCCAGGUCAGGCGGGGUUACCCGCUGAGUUAA
rnacentral:rRNA from 1 species